CAGUAGAGGGGUUCUCUAUACUAUAGGGACAGUAGAGGGGUUCUCUAUACUAUAGGGACAGUAGAGGGGUUCUCUAUACUAUAGGGACAGUAGAGGGGUUCUCUAUACUAUAGGGACAGUAGAGGGGUUCUCUAUACUAUAGGGACAGUAGAGGGGUUCUCUAUACUAUAGGGACAGUAGAGGGGUUCUCUAUACUAUAGGGACAGUAGAGGGGUUCUCUAUACUAUAGGGACAGUAGAGGGGUUCUCUAUACUAUAGGGACAGUAGAGGGGUUCUCUAUACUAUAGGGACAGUAGAGGGGUUCUCUAUACUAUAGGGACAGUAGAGGGGUUC